UGAGAGAGAGACAGAGAGAAAGGUCUUCCUUUGCGGUUGGUUCACCCUCCAAUGGCCGCCGCGGCCGGCGCACCGCGCUGAUCUGAUGGCAGGAGCCAGGAGCCAGGUGCUUUUCCUGGUCUCCCAUGGGGUGCAGGGCCCAAGCACCUGGCCAUUCUCCACUGCCUUCCUGGCCACAGCAGAGAGCUGGCCUGGAAGAGGGGCAACCGGGACAGAAUCCGGCGCCCCGACCGGGACUAGAACCCAGGGUGCCGGUGCCACAGGCAGAGGAUUAGCCUAUUGAGCCACGGCACUGGCCUAAAACAUUUUUUAAAAAGGAAAAAUUGUCCUCCUCGGAGUCUGCCUGUAGAGGUGCCUGGACAGUAAGUAAGGAAACAGACAGCUGUCAGUCUUGCUUCAGAUACAACUGGUUUGUCUGGGCAGUUUACUUCGGCAGCCUAGGAGCAGCUAAGAUACAUUGUGUCAUCUUUACAGGAACCGCAAAUGCACUCGGAUCCAUAUCUCCAAUGCACUCGGGUCCAUAUCUCACUCCGCUGCAUCUUUCUAAAAAUUCUAGAA